rfam:Myotis brandtii contig258019, whole genome shotgun sequence.
CGUGCACCAGUGGGGUCCCUAAGCCUGGCCUGCGGGAUCGGGCCGAAACUGGCUCUCCAACAUACCAAAGGAUCCCAAAUUGCAAGAAGGCGCAGGCCAGGCUGAGGGACCCCACUGGUGCAUG